UCAACAGGUGGAGCAUUUAACGGUAAUUAGACUUCUUCCUCUUUUCAUUACAGUCAUUCAGAAAACCCUGGACAAAAGCAGCCUGUUUUUGAUGUCAGGGGGUCCCACACUGUGGCAUCAUUAACUGGUCAUAUUAAGACACAAUUGACUCACAAUUAAGUUUUUUUUUUUGAAUUCACUCUCAAAACCAUCACACAUUCAGACUGUGUGGAUGAUCCAAGUGACCAGGGGUGAUGUUGCAAUUGGAAGCUGUGCUGAAUAUUUUAGUUCAUCAGUUUUAGUAAAGAUUCUUUGGUCUUGAACUGCAAUAAGAUCUGCAUUCAGAUUAUCAAUGUUCAGUGUCUGAAUGUGUUUGUUGAUGUGUUUUCAGCCGUUGAUAUUCAAGUACCAGAUGCUGCUGUGGUUGAAGCAUCAAAAUUUGGAACAUUUGGGGAGGUAUGAGACAAUUGUUGAGCAAAGAAGCAGUUGGCAGUAAAAUUAAAUUUAUUUAUUAUUUAUUAUUCAUUAAUAUCUGUGCUGUCCUGUGCUGUAGUUUGCUGCAUUUACCUGAUGGGGACAUAACACAACUGGAGCGUUUAAAGGUAUUCAGAGUGUUUUUAAUGUCCAUUACAAUUACUGCUGAAGAUUUUUGUCUUCUCUUUUGGAAUAAUUCUUAAAAGCCAGAUCUUUCUAAAAGUUAAACAAAUAUAAUAAUCACUGAUCAAAAAAUUGGUUCAUUGUCUUGUUUUUGAUGCUUUGUUUCUUAUCUGUGAGUUUGUUACAAGUGUUCUGUUUUGAUCACCUGAUUAUAUUAUUUCUCAAAAUUAUGGGCUGAAUUUAACCCAGUAAUUUCACUCGCAGCAUAUUGUUUUCAGGCUUCAGAGGUGGAUGUUCAUCAGUCUGAAUCGUUUUUUAUAUGUGGUUUCAGGUUCUUCCUGAGCCUGAACUUUGGGCCUUGCUGAAGGGUCAGGGAAAGAAGAAGCCUGUUGAAGGGUAUGUGACUAUAUUUGUGGGGAAAAUGAUGGGCAGAAGUGAUCCAGAGUUACUAUGAUUCUUAAAACGGCUUGGGUUUUAGAGAGUUUGAUCACUUGCUUUUGAACUGAUGAAAGUGCUCCUGUGUCUUCUACUGUAGUUUGAGUUUACCUGAAGUGGACAUCAAACAGCUGGAGCGUCUAAGGGUAAGCAUUACUUAUUUUCUUUUCAUGACUUUCAUGCUAGUACACUGGCCCCACAUAAAGGUCCCACAUAAGGGUAUUGUUAAGCUGUUUACACCAUGUUCUAGUUGUCUGUUAGUCAAGGUUUAAGUCUUGUAUGAAGAACUUCAGCAUCUUAAGAUAUUCUGAAGCCUCUCUGUUAACACUAUGAUCCAAAAAUAAAUGGGUGCUAAGGUAAUAAAUAGCUGUGCUGAGGAAGACAGAGCCGAUGGAUACAGAGGCAAAAAAAAAACAAAACACAAACUACAAAAUUAGUAUGACGAGUGCUCCAGAAAAACCUGCCCCAGUAUCAACCCCAUUGUGUCUUUAUGCUGUUUUUUCUUUGGUCCUGCAGUGGUGACACAGAAUACAAACAUUUUUGAGUUAGUUUUUGCAACCAACAAGAGAGUAGUAUGCCUGAUGUCAUCCUGUGUUGUGUAACUUGACGAGUAAGCAAUGCUAACCAAAACCAGCAGUUCUGCCUUGAAAUCAUAAAUCAGAGGAAAAACAGAACACUCUUGCAGAUUGAUGAAAUAUGAAGUGUAGGAUCUGCUUGUCUCUAGGGUUGCUCUUGCUAUCAGGGGUUGGGGUGAGGGUCCAAUGUUUUUGAGAGAGCACCACCUUUCUUUAUUUAUACCAAUUUGUGUCGACUUAAUUAAAGACAUUUGUGGUCAAGUUGACUUAAUUCUUCAGGUUAAAGUAAAAGAUUUUUAGUCAAGACCGAAGUCUUUCAAUUGCCUACAUUUAUUUUAUUUUCAAACGAUUUCAUUUUGUGUCCUGAAAAUUUUUAAUCCAUUAAAAAACAUUUAUGAUUCUUUUUUUGUCUUUAAACCAAUAAGAUCUGCAUUCAGGGUCAGUGAUCAGUGUCUCAAUGUGUUUGUUGAUGUGUUUUCAGCCUUUGAUAUUCAAGAACCAGCUGCUGCUUUGGUUGAAGCACCAAAAUUUGGGGGUUUUGGGAAGGUAUGAGACGUUUUUUGAAGAAAGUGGAUGAUUUAUAGUUGGCAGUAGAUGGAAAUGUGUGUUUUUGACCAUUUGUCUUCUCAAUCGAUAGUGUUAUUGUCUGAUAUUGUAAUGAUUAAAAUGCAUCUAUGUCUUUUGUGGUAGUUUGCUGCAUUUACCAGAUGUGGACAUAAAACAGCUGGAGCAUCUGAUGGUAAUCUCUUAGAUUUUUUAUUGAGCUCCAUCAAGAACUCUGUCCUUCACUGAAUGAAUUUAAUCCAAAGGCUUGUGUUCAACGUUUCUUACCUGAAUGGAUUUGGUUAGACAAAAUGUUCCAUUUUAAACACAUGGAUAAAGUUUGCUUAUAAAUAAACGGUGCAAAUUUAUACUGGCUGAUUUAUCUAAAAGAACAGUGUCCAAGGUAUCAGAUGGAGCUGUUGGUCAGCUUGAAUGUUUGUUUAUGUUAUUUCAGCCUCCUGUCCCUGAGCAUGAGUUGUGGGCUUUGCUGAAAGGUCAAGAGAAGAAGCCUGCUGAAGGGUAUGUCAUAAUAAAAAAAAAAGUUAUAAGGCAGUAGGGGUACAAGGCUUUACCAAAGGUUAAGAUGCUGCAAAUGCUCCAAACGAGUUUUCGUUGAGAAGAAAAAAAACAUUUUGCUUUGGUUUUAGAGAGAGGGCAUGUGUGCUUUUUAACUGAUGAUAGUGCUCCUGUGUCUCUUGCUGUAGUUUGAGUUUACCUGAUGUGGACAUCAAGCAACCGAAUCAUCUAGUGGUAAUCAACCUCUUUCUUUUUACUCUACAAUUCAAACACCUGGUAACAAUCCAGACAAAACAGCUCCUUUAAAGUUGAAGAUCUCAUUCUGUGUUAUUGAUUGUUUUUUAAAACGUGUAUUGCCUUCAAGAUCUGUAUUUCAAUCUUAAAAAUGUGCCAUUGUGUUUGUUCAUGUGGUGUCAGCCUCUGAUCUUCAAGUACCAGCAGCUGCUAUGGUUAAGGAAUCAAAAUUUGGAACAUUUGAG
rnacentral:lncRNA from 1 species